rnacentral:rRNA from 1 species
GAUGAACGCUGGCGGCGUGCCUAAUACAUGCAAGUCGAGCGAACGGACGAGAAGCUUGCUUCUCUGAUGUUAGCGGCGGACGGGUGAGUAACACGUGGAUAACCUACCUAUAAGACUGGGAUAACUUCGGGAAACCGGAGCUAAUACCGGAUGAUAUUUUGAACCGCAUGGUUCAAAAGUGAAAGACGGUCUUGCUGUCACUUAUAGAUGGAUCCGCGCUGCAUUAGCUAGUUGGUAAGGUAACGGCUUACCAAGGCAACGAUGCAUAGCCGACCUGAGAGGGUGAUAGGCCACACUGGAACUGAGACACGGUCCAGACUCCUACGGGAGGCAGCAGUAGGGAAUCUUCCGCAAUGGGCGAAAGCCUGACGGAGCAACGCCGCGUGAGUGAUGAAGGUCUUCGGAUCGUAAAACUCUGUUAUUAGGGAAGAACAUAUGUGUAAGUAACUGUGCACAUCUUGACGGUACCUAAUCAGAAAGCCACGGCUAACUACGUG